GUGCUCACUUUGGCAGCACAUAUACUAAAAGUGGAACUAUACAGACAAGAUUGGCAUGGCCCCUGCACAUGGAUGACACACAAAUUCAUGAAGCGUUUCAUAUUUUU
rnacentral:snRNA from 1 species